rnacentral:misc_RNA from 1 species
UCCGGCUUUCACCGGCUGUCUCCUUAGAGAGCCCAGCUUUACCUGCUGGCAACUAAGGAUAAGGGUUGCGCUCGUUGCGGGACUGAACCCAACAUCUCACGACACGAGCUGACGACAACCAUGCACCACCUGUCACCGCUGCCCCGAAGGGAACCUCUAUCUCUAGAGGGAUCAGCGGGAUGUCAAGCCUUGGUAAGGUUCUUCGCGUUGCUUCGAAUUAAACCACAUGCUCCACCGCUUGUGCGGGCCCCCGUCAAUUCCUUUGAGUUUCAGCCUUGCGGCCGUACUCCCCAGGCGGAGUGCUUAAUGGGUUUCCUUCGGCACUGAGGACUGGAAGUCCCCAACACCUAGCACUCAUCGUUUACGGCGUGGACUAC